AUUGAACGCUGGCGGCAUGCCUUACACAUGCAAGUCGAACGGCAGCACGGGAGCAAUCCUGGUGGCGAGUGGCGAACGGGUGAGUAAUAUAUCGGAACGUGCCCAGUCGUGGGGAUAACGUAGCGAAAGCUACGCUAAUACCGCAUACGAUCUAUGGAUGAAAGCGGGGGAUCGCAAGACCUCGCGCGAUUGGAGCGGCCGAUAUCAGAUUAGGUAGUUGGUGAGGUAAAGGCUCACCAAGCCGACGAUCUGUAGCUGGUCUGAGAGGACGACCAGCCACACUGGGACUGAGACACGGCCCAGACUCCUACGGGAGGCAGCAGUGGGAAUUUUGGACAAUGGGACGCAAGCCCUGAUCCAGCAAUGCCGCGUGCAGGAUGAAGGGCCUUCGGGUUGUAACGUAGCUUUUGUAC
rnacentral:rRNA from 1 species